GUGUGCUGAUGUUCAGUGUUUGCUUUUAGGCUUCAUGGACUAAAACUACAAAUGAUUACCAUCUCUAAUCAGUCACCAUUAGCCUUGUUCUGAACUGCGCCUGUACUGUAACUAUAAAAUAUCUGCAUCACAGCCUUAUUUGGCUUUAACACCGCAAAUGUUCUUCCACAAAUAGCAAAGAGAAUGAUCUGCAGGACAUAAAUACAUACCAGCCUCAUAACAGUGAGAUCCAGUACCUCAGAAUUCUUCUUUGUGGACCCACUGGUUCUGGAAAGUCCAGCUUCAUCAACCCGGUUGAUGCCGUUUUACGAGAAUGAAUGACCAGCCGAGCUUUGGCCAAUGCAGCUCCUCAGGAAAGCUUCACGAAAACAUACACAACUUUCAAAAUCCCAAAAGCAGAACCAGGGACUUUUUACCCUUUUGCCUUCACUGACAUCAUGGGUGUCGAUAAGGGCAAAAAAGAGGAGUUGUCUUGGAAGACAUCAAACAGGUUAUGAAGGGACACGUGAAGGAUAGCUACCUGGUAUAAUAACUGAAGUUUAAGGCAGAACAAUACCCCUUUUUAAAAUAAGAAAGAGCUACGUGCAAUUUAUAAUUAAUUCAUUUUUUAUUCUUUUCCAGUUCAACACAGAGACUUAAAUAUCCAAAAGAGAUCGCGACUACAAUGAAAACCCUGGUCUCAGUGACAAAGUUCAUGUUCUGGUUUCUGUGAUUUCUGUGAGCCAAGCAAAAACACUGAGUGAUAAAUAUAUGAGAAAAAUGAUGGAUGUCAGACAAGCAGCCUCUCACUUGGGUAAGGCUCAUUUUUUUCAGUUGAUUUAAAUAACCUGACAAACAUCAUCUUUACUCUGAGCUUUUAUGUAUCAGGGAUUCCCCAAAUGCUUCUCCAAACUAAAAUUGAUGAAACCUUUCUAGAAGUCAAAGAAGACAUAAAAAAUGUGUAUAAGAGCUCACCCUUAAAGGAACAGGUAUAUACCAGUGAUUUUAUCAGUUUAAAUAAAAAAAGCAAUAUAUACCCUUAUAAGAAACAAUUGUUAACAAAUGUUAAACUGUUCACAUUUAGAUGGAGAAAGUGAGCCAGUCUCUGGGUAUUCCAGUGAACUGCAGCUUUCCUGUGAAGAACUACCACUCAGAAAUCCACACGGACGACAACACUGACACGCUGAUCCUCAGUACACUGAGAAAGAUGAUCGACUUUGGAGAGGACUUUGUCAACAUCAUGUAGCUCUGCUAAUACCACAAACAGACUUUUUUAAUGCAGCGUUUAAACGGUGAUGAACAGGAAGGUUCGCAGUAAUGAUUUACUUUUUGUUUUUUCUAUUUCCAUGGAUUUAAUGCAGUUAUCAUGUGUAUCACGUGCCAUUGCAACAGCUUUAUUUCCUCUUUCAGCCCUUGUUACGACCCCCUCUGCUAGGCGUCAGGGGAGGAGUAACAUACACAAGCCCCAAACACAAAACUGAGUAAAGAAAGGUUUUAAUUUCAAACUUUAAACAGAAAACCGACAGGGCUGUUCAACAGACCUCUGGGCAAACAAUUACUAUAUAAAGACAAAAAAAGAAGACAAGAGAAAAAGCUAAAGGUUAACUAAGGCAAGCUGGCGGCGCACAAAAUAAAAGCUAAGAGUAAACUAGGCGAGCCAGCAUCUCAAUAUCCCACUCACAGCCAGCUAGCAGCUCAAAGCUCUAAUCAGGCUAAGUUCAAACAUGCACCAAGGUUUAACAAAGUUCAGCAAUAUGAACAAGUUCAACAGAGAUUGACGAGGGAGGCACGGAGGGCAAACUGCAUGUUCAGUCCUAAGCAGCAGCCACUGAGUGAAGGACUUCCAGCCUUUUGUAUUCCCCGGUAAAUGCAGGCAGCCGUGUCAUUGGUCCAUCGUGUUCAAGGCUCCUGCAGCAGCCAAUGGUGUGAGUGGUCUGGCACACUCUGAUCUGCAUGUAGUUGAGGCGGGCAUAGGUCCGGGGCCAGCCAAUCCCCCAUGAGUCCUGGAACACUGUGAUUUCUAUAGAGGAAGGCGGGGCCACCUGAGGCCAGAGGCCGUAACAGCCCUUCUGUUGCAGAUUUGCUGGUGCACUCAGAAAAAUACUUGAGUACAAUAGGAAAUGGUAAAUUUAAUGGAAUCUAUUCAAAUGAAAUUUACUUGACUGGGUUGUUUUCAGUUUAUAUUUUCUUUAAUGUUUAAUUAUUUGGAUAAAUAAACCUUUGGUUUUAAAUAUUUCAAAUGUUUCAGUUUUAAUCCCAAUUAUGCUUUUGCUUAUGCUUAUGCUUUUAUCAUUAUGAGGGCAAAAAAAAGUUUUUUUGAGUGUGUGUUUGGGAUCAUUGCAUUGAGUAUUUUAUAAGUAUAUCUAGUUUUUGCCAAUUGAAAUAUUAUGCGGGAGGAUUAUCAUUAUCAUUUACUCUAAAAUGUUCAGUUAAUUGACGUGUUUAUUAAGAAGAUAUGUAAAAAUGUCAUUUCUUAUAGUAAACCUUAUUAAACAUCAGACUACCCCCAUAUGAUAUAAUAGACACUUCAUUUUAAGUCAAUAUGAUGCUUCAUAUAUUUUAGAAAUCUGUUUAUCUCACAAUAAAUAGGAUGUUUUGACCAUGAGAGUAUAAGGAUUUGGGUAAUACAAAGACUGUGUGUGCGCGCUGAUAUUGUAUCAAUAGUUCUUCACAUUUCACCUUUUUCAAAGUAGGAGUUGGAGAGCACCUUCACCCCUCGAGGCCUGCUCAUGGCAGAAAGAUGGGCUAAUUGGCUUCUGAUAAAAUCUGUGGGACCUUAUAGGAGAGUUAUCCACAUAGCACAUGGAAAAUAGGGAGAGAACUGGAAAGUACCAGAUUUUCUGAAUAUCUGCCACGGUGACCUGGCAUAUAUUCAUGUGUGACCUUGGCAGACACCUCUGGGAAUUUAGAAGUCCUGAAAACCCCUGGGCUGCUGGUCUUUUGUGUAUUUUGUCUGUUUUUGUGUUUAUUCAAACUGUAUUCCAAGAAACAAUUAUGUUUUUGCAAUUUGAAGCUACAUGUCCAGUUGUCUUUUACCUCUUUUUAAUUGAAACAACAAUAAUUUUGAAGAUUUCCAGUUUAGAGAAUACAUUUCAGAGAACUGUGCAAGUUCUGUGAGUCACCGUACUUGAAAGAGGAUAAAAUAUUAGUGGGAUGUUUAAAUACGCAGUAAAAUUUUCUUUGCAGCAUUAGCAAAUUUACUUCCCAAAUCCAAGAUCAGAGUAGAGGUGCAAAAGCCAAAUAAGGCAAGCCUCAUCAAUAAUGGGUUAAUCAUUUAGGAUAUAUAACCAUUUUAAAAUGACCCAUAUUUGGGACAUAUUAGGCAAACUUUAAGGAUUAAAAUGUAUAUUAGUGAUUUUUGUCGCAACUAAUUUUUUGGGGGUCUGGUAGCAUGAAAACUAGACACAACCAACAAUUUUAGGCAUUAUUUUCAGUUUCAUUGACAUAAAAUUAGUAAGGUUUGGUCACCUUUGUCUAUAAACCAAUGGUAUGGAUGAAUCUACACCUAAUGACCAAUUUAAUGCUCCAAAGCAACUACCAGUAGGCGUGGAGCUCUGCCCCAAACAUUUCUGCAACUUAGUGCUAACAAACUACAGACACCAAAAUCAUCAACCCAGACAACUAUUUAAAUAUUUAAAUAAUAAAGUAGGUGUCCAUACAAGUGCAUGCCCAUAUGCUUGAAUGAGUGAGUUAUGAGAGUGUGUUCCACCAGUCUAGGUAUCUGCCAUGGAGGAGCUGGAGAAGGAGAAGGAAGAAAGAAAACAGAUGGGCAAGGUCUGGUGUUUAGUCUGUUUGCCGGGUGAUAAGCCCCUGAUGUCAACCAUCUGGCUGUGCCUUUCCCAACUUCACCCACGUGCCACUGA